AGGGUCUGGUCCCUGACGACGCGCAGUGAGGGCCCCGCCGCUCCCCCAGCAGUCGCCUCCCAAGUUCGCGGAACGCAAAUGACCGGCUCCCUCUGGACUGGGUGACACGACUGAUCCCAAGCAGUCGUUUCCCGGAUUCUCUGUCUUCUCCUGUACAGCCGUUCCGUUUUCUUACCUUCUUACCUCGUCUCCGUCACCGAGGCCCUCAGCCCUGAACACUAGGACUGGGCAGUUUCCCUAUUGAUUCCUGAACCUGGAACUUAAGACAUCUUCCGAGGGCCCCCCUCGCCACACCCUCUAGCUGAUCGACUCACAAAUACCUGUGAUUUCUCUCCCCGUCUCCACCUCCAGGCGAAGUCUUGCUCCUGUCGCCCAGGCUGGAGUGCAAUGGCACGAUCUCGGCUGACUGCAACCUCCGCCUCCCAGUCACGAGUUCUGACUAAUUCUGUGGGGGAAAGACCAACAGACAGGAGCCAGCUGAAGAUGCUGAACCUCUGAUGUCUUCACUUAUUGCCCAAUUCCUCCUUGAGCCACCCUCCUCUGACUUAAAUGUACUGUCAUGCCAUUUGGCCCUAAGAUAUUUCUACUUAACGUGUGAGUUAAUCAGAUCCCUUGUCUAGCUUAUAAAUUUCUAGAAUCAUAUAGCCAAAAGGAGGCUGACAGAUCUGGCCCAAAGUUAUACCCACUGCAGGAACUGCCCUAUGAUUUCUUCUUGAACACUUCCAGAAGCUGAACCUCUCCUUGUUUGUCUCUUCCAGAAUUGAAACUGUAAAACUACAAAUGGUUCUUCAAAUGGAGCUCCAGAUGCAGUCCAUGACUAAGAUCCACCACGGACCCCUGGACCGGCCUGCUAGCCCAUGCUCCGAUGUUAAUGACAUCGAAGGCACCCCUCCUGAGGAAAUCUCAACUGCGCAACCCCUACUAUGCCCCAGUUCAGCAGGAAGCAGUUAGAGCGGUCAUCAGCCAACCUCCCCAACAGCACUUGGGUUUUCCUGUUGAGAGGGGGCACUGAGAGACAGGACUAGCUGGAUUUCCUAGGCCGACUAAGAAUCCCUAAGCCUAGUUGGGAAGGUGACUGCAUCCACCUUUAAACAUGGGGCUUGCAACUUAGCUCACACCCAACCAAUCAGAGAGCUCACUAAAAUGCUAAUUAGGCAAAAACAGGAGGUAAAGAAAUAGCCAAUCAUCUUUUGCCUGAGAGCACAGCAGGAGGGACAAGGAUCGGGAUAUAAACCCAGGCAUUCAAGCCGGCAAUGGCAACCCCCUUUGGGUCCCCUCCCUUUGUAUGGGAGCUCUGUUUUCACUCUAUUAAAUCUUGCAACUGCA